UACAGAGGGGGCUAGCGUUGUUCGGAAUUACUGGGCGUAAAGGGCGCGUAGGCGGCCCGCUAAGUCGAACGUGAAAUCCCCGGGCUCAACCCGGGAACUGCGUCCGAUACUGGCAGGCUUGAAUCCGGGAGAGGGAUGUGGAAUUCCAGGUGUAGCGGUGAAAUGCGUAGAUAUCUGGAGGAACACCGGUGGCGAAGGCGACAUCCUGGACCGGUAUUGACGCUGAGGCGCGAAAGCCAGGGGAGCAAACGGG
rnacentral:rRNA from 1 species